rnacentral:lncRNA from 1 species
AAAAUGCAGACUGAUAGAUUUGUGCCAAGUGGCAAAAUCUUGUAAGGAGAGAGGAAAGGAAAAAGUGACUUAAUGUGAUGCGAUGAUGGAUCGACGCAACUGAUGGAUGGUUGAUAUGAUGACAGUGCAAAAAACAGAGGCGUGCCACCGAACCAGUGAUGGCACGCUGCCCAACUAGAGACAACACGUUGCCCAAGGGACAAUGCCCAUUGCCCGAGGUAGCACUGCCACCCUAGCCUGGCACGCGCGCAGGCCUGCUGCGUGUUGGCGAUGCCAAUUGCAUGCAUGGAGCUGUGCAGCCGUCUGCGUAAACCACACGAUCCUCGCACUUACGUGGAUAGAACGUGUGCAUAGGUGCACAUCUCACGCCCGUGUGGAUGGGACGUGUGCCUAUGCUAGCCGCGCACGAUGCAUGGAGCCCACGUGGGCAGGGAGGCCUUCGUGCGGGCUUUUCCCACUAGACUUUUCCACC